rnacentral:rRNA from 1 species
AGAAGAUGGUAAGGGCAAACGGUGGAUGCCUUGGCACAAGAAGCCGAUGAAGGACGUGAUAAGCUGCGAUAAGCCACGGUAAGGAGCACAUAUCCUGUGACCCGUGGAUUUCCGAAUGGGUAAACCCACCAAGAGUCAUUUCUUGGUACUUCCUGCUGAAUAUAUAGGCAGGAUAGAGGUAACCGGGGGAACUGAAACAUCUAAGUACCCCGAGGAAGAGAAAUCAAACGAGAUUCCCCUAGUAGUGGCGAGCGAACGGGGAUAUAGGACAAACCGUCAGUUGCGCAAGCGCUGGCGGGGUUGUAGGACCAUUCAUUGUGGAGUUACAAAACUUCGUGGAAGCAGAAUAGCUUGGAAAAGCUGGCGAGACAGGGUAAAAGCCCCGUACGCGAAUCUGCGAAGACUCCCGAGUGGCACCUGAGUACUGCCGGACACGUGAAACCCGGUGGGAACCUGGGGGGUCCACCCUCCAAUCCUAAAUACUCUCUUGUGACCGAUAGUGAACCAGUACCGUGAGGGAAAGGUGAAAAGCACCCCUAGCGGGGAGUGAAAUAGUACCUGAAACCGUUUGCCUACAAGCAGUCGGAGCAGACUUUUGUCUGUGACGGCGUGCCUUUUGUAGAAUGAGCCAGCGAGUUACGGCAUGUGGCAAGGUUAAGCUAAAAAGCGAGCCGCAGCGAAAGCGAGUCUGAAUAGGGCGAGUGAGUCGCAUACCGUAGACGCGAAGCCAGGUGAGCUAUCCAUGAGCAGGCUGAAGCGGGGGUAAGACCCCGUGGAGGGCCGAACCCACUUAGGUUGAAAACUGAGGGGAUGACUUGUGGAUAGGAGUGAAAGGCCUAUCAAACCUGGAGAUAUCUCGUUCUCUCCGAAAUAGCUUUAGGGCUAGCCUCGGAUGUUUACCAAUGGGGGUAGAGCACUGAAUAGUUGCGGGGGCUUCACCGCCUACCAAGAUUAAUCAAACUCCGAAUACCAUUGGUCUAGAAUCCGGGAGUCAGAAUAUGUGGGCUAAGCUGUGUAUUCGAAAGGGAAACAGCCCAGACCGCCCGCUAAGGUCCCAAAAUCAAUGCUAAGUGGCAAAGGAUGUGCGUUUGCUCAGACAACCAGGAUGUUGGCUUAGAAGCAGCCAUUCAUUUAAAGAGUGCGUAAUAGCUCACUGGUCGAGUGGACAUGCGCCGACAAUAUACGGGGCUAAGCAUUGUACCGAAGCGGCGGAUCAGUACUUUGUACUGGUGGUAGGAGAGCUUUCUGUACGGGUUGAAGCAGUUGGAUAACCAACUGUGGACUGUCCAGAAGUGAGAAUGCUGGCAUGAGUAACGAGAGACAUGUAAAAAACAUGUCCGCCGUAAACCCAAGGUUUCCUGGGCAAGGCUAAUCCUCCCAGGGUUAGGCGGGAGCUAAGGCAAGGCCGGAAGGCGUAGUCGAUGCACAACAGGUAGAAAUUCCUGUCCCUCCAAAAGAGCGUUAUCACCAAUGGGGUGACGGAGAAGGGUAGCUAGGCGGGGUUCUGGACGUCCCCGUGAUGGCACGUAGGCUGAGAAGUAGUGAAAUGCGCUUCUCGUGUGGCUGAGGUGUCGGACGAAGCAAUUGAGUGAAGCUAGUAAGCCCAUACUUCCAAGAAAAACCUCUAGGGAGCUCUGAGGAGCCCGUACCGCAAACCGACACAGGUGGGUGGGUAGAGCAUACCAAGGCGAUCGGGAGAACUAUGGUUAAGGAACUCGGCAAAAUUGCCCCGUAACUUCGGGAGAAGGGGUGCCGGUUUCGGUGAAGGGAUUUACUCCCCGAGCUAAGAUCGGUCACAGUAAAUAGGUCCAAGCGACUGUUUAUCAAAAACACAGGACUCUGCUGAAGUCGUAAGACGACGUAUAGGGUCUGACGCCUGCCCGGUGCCGGAAGGUCACGAGGAGUUGUUAGCAUUAGCGAAGCAGCGAAUCUAAGCCCCGGUAAACGGCGGCCGUAACUAUAACGGUCCUAAGGUAGCGAAAUUCCUUGUCGGGU